CCCCUAGAUGUUCUGGGCCGCACGCGCGCUACACUGAACAGUUCAACAAGUCUUAACCUUGGCCGAUAGGUCUGGGUAAUCUUUGAACGCUGUUCGUGAUUGGGAUAGACCUUUGCAAUUUGGGUCUUCAACGAGGAAUUCCUAGUAAACGCAAGUCAUCAGCUUGCAUUGAUUACGUCCCUGCCCUUUGUACACACCGCCCGUCGCACCUACCGAUUGAAUGGUCCGGUGAAAUCUCGGGACGGCGGCUUGGUCGCUUGCGUCCGACUGCUGAAACUUGAUUAAACCAUAUCAUUUAGAGGAAGGUGAAGUCGUAACA
rnacentral:rRNA from 1 species